rnacentral:rRNA from 1 species
AUUGAACGCUGGCGGCAGGCCUAACACAUGCAAGUCGAGCGGAUGAAGGGAGCUUGCUCCUGGAUUCAGCGGCGGACGGGUGAGUAAUGCCUAGGAAUCUGCCUGGUAGUGGGGGAUAACGUCCGGAAACGGGCGCUAAUACCGCAUACGUCCUGAGGGAGAAAGUGGGGGAUCUUCGGACCUCACGCUAUCAGAUGAGCCUAGGUCGGAUUAGCUAGUUGGUGGGGUAAAGGCCUACCAAGGCGACGAUCCGUAACUGCUCUGAGAGGAUGAUCAGUCACACUGGAACUGAGACACGGUCCAGACUCCUACGGGAGGCAGCAGUGGGGAAUAUUGGACAAUGGGCGAAAGCCUGAUCCAGCCAUGCCGCGUGUGUGAAGAAGGUCUUCGGAUUGUAAAGCACUUUAAGUUGGGAGGAAGGGCAGUAAGUUAAUACCUUGCUGUUUUGACGUUACCAACAGAAUAAGCACCGGCUAACUUCGUG